UGAAGAAGCGCUGAUGCAGUGACACUUCUUUUCUGUGGUUAUUUCUUCAGUCCAGGGGAUGCUGAGGCAAAGUGCACUGAUGACUGGACGGAAAAGAAACACCAGCACCGGCGCAUCCUGCUUGCCAUUGCUGAAGGUGGCCUGUCUGUCCCACACAGAAGACGAAUUGUCCCCGUGGAGCCAAGAUACGCUGAAGAGGACGAGACAGCUCGGCUUUUGCUCACGUUGUACGUUGGGAUAAUUGUUCGCUCAGGAACGAGAUUCCAUCCAGCGUGCCAUGAAGGAGGCCUCGCAGACUCACCUAGCUGGGCACACGAUGAGCAGCGGAACCGGUCUGGGAACUCGCAACCUGCGGGGAACAUGCCACCAGAGACAAGACAUGACACUUUUCGCGUGAUGGAGCUGAAGUACCCGCCAAGGAACGCUUGUGCAUUAUAACUGCAUUGCCAUCUUCAGGCCUGCUGCUGCAGCCAUAUGCGCUACAGUACGGCAUUGGGCUAGCAGAACACUGCAGGAAGGACACACAGCGUGCCACGUUCGCUGCGCCGAGCCAACAAAGCCAAGGAGAAAAAUGGCGCAAACCAAAUAGGAAAAAGACAAGCGAAAUGCAAGAUCCCCGUGUUUCCAAGGGCAACGUCAGAGAAACCAGUCGUCAUGCAUAAAAACGGGAGCAACAGUGGUUCCUGCGGAGCUACGCUCUAGGGGAAAGGAGGAGGCAAAGAAGAGUUCAAAGAGCAAAUUAUCAAGGGACUUUUAAGAUCAGCGAGGCAGCCGCGCCAUACUUUGCUCCGGUUGCAUCGUGUCGCACGAGACGAAUUGUACACGCCAAACAAUAUACCGCGAAAUGAACAAAAAAUAACACAUAGAGCGUCACUGAAAUUUCGCAUUAUGGAGUACCGUGAUCUUCGGCGAAAUUCGUGGGCCACCCCCACUUCGCCUCUUUGUCAAGCUACACCACAUCAACAGCGAAAGCUCUCCUCGUCAUGUGCAGUUACACACUGAUUAUUUAUGAUGAUAUUGGCCUGUACUUUCUUUCAUGCUGCGCCCACUUCGCUUGCUCUUACGCAAC